GACAGAGGUGCCAAGCGUUAGGCGGAAUCACUGGGCUUAAAGCGUGUGUAGGCGGAUCGUUAAGUGCCUUGUGAAAUCCCACGGCUUAACCGUGGAACUGCUCGGCAUACUGGCGGUCUUGAGCCAGCUAGGGGCUACCGGAACAAAUGGUGGAGCGGUGAAAUGCGUAGAUAUCAUUUGGAACGCCAAUGGUGAAAACAGGUAGCUGGGGCUGUGCUGACGCUGAGACACGAAAGCCAGGGGAGCGAACGGA
rnacentral:rRNA from 1 species